UACGGAGGGAGCUAGCGUUGUUCGGAAUUACUGGGCGUAAAGCGCACGUAGGCGGCUUUGUAAGUUAGAGGUGAAAGCCCGGGGCUCAACCCCGGAAUUGCCUUUAAGACAGCAUCGCUUGAAUCCGGGAGAGGUGAGUGGAAUUCCGAGUGUAGAGGUGAAAUUCGUAGAUAUUCGGAAGAACACCAGUGGCGAAGGCGGCUCACUGGACCGGCAUUGACGCUGAGGUGCGAAAGCGUGGGGAGCAAACAGG
rnacentral:rRNA from 1 species